UGGGGAAUAUUGGACAAUGGGCGAAAGCCUGAUCCAGCCAUGCCGCGUGUGUGAAGAAGGUCUUCGGAUUGUAAAGCACUUUAAGUUGGGAGGAAGGGCAGUAAGCGAAUACCUUGCUGUUUUGACGUUACCGACAGAAUAAGCACCGGCUAACUCUGUGCCAGCAGCCGCGGUAAUACAGAGGGUGCAAGCGUUAAUCGGAAUUACUGGGCGUAAAGCGCGCGUAGGUGGUUCGUUAAGUUGAAUGUGAAAGCCCCGGGCUCAACCUGGGAACUGCAUCCAAAACUGGCGAGCUAGAGUAGGGCAGAGGGUGGUGGAAUUUCCUGUGUAGCGGUGAAAUGCGUAGAUAUAGGAAGGAACACCAGUGGCGAAGGCGACACCUGGGCUCAUACUGACACUGAGGUGCGAAAGCGUGGGGAGCAAACAGG
rnacentral:rRNA from 1 species